CCAUGUAAAGCGGUUUGAGACAUAAUUCAAGAAGAUAGAUAUUCUGCCCGUCUUCGUUUCAUUUUCUCCAUUUUUACUUAAAAUUCAAACGUUUCUUCACAUUUGCUCCUCAGUUAUCCUCUUUAAGCACUUCAAACUAUUAGUUUAAUUCUAAAACUUCAAAGUAACUGACUUCAUCAACGACUCAACACACCAUGGAUGCGUCUGGAGAAUCCAAUCCAAAGGACGUUCUAAACAACAAUCCUGCGUUGAAUAAUUGGGUAGAUGUCACUACUAUGGCAUCAGUAAUUGCGUCUGAGUCUGAGAUUGAAGUACCAAAUGUUGCUUGUCCUGAACACAGCAAAGUUACAGAAGAUGCACAUAGUGCUGACCCUAAUCCUGAAAGUGAAGUAAGUCCUGUGUUUGAUGAGUGACAUUUAUGUCACUCCUAAGGAGUAGUUUUAGAGUAUUUUCCGUGUUUAUUUUUUCCUUA